UGACUUGUACACAUAUGUUGGAGCCUUGUGCUCAUAAGAUGGUGGUGGAGGUGAUUUAUACUCAUAGGGUGGUGGGGGUGAUGGUGAAGGAGGUGGGGGAGACUUAUAUUCAUAAGAUGGAGACUUGUGCUCAUAGGGUGGAGGUGGUGGAGAUUUGUAAAUGUAAGAUGGUGGAGGUGACGGUGAGGGAGGCGGUGGUGACUUGUAAAUGUAAGGUGGUGGUGGUGAUGGUGAUGGUGGUGGGGGUGACUUGUACUGGUAAGAUGGAGCCUUGUGCUCAUAUGGUGGUGGAGGUGACGGUGAUGGAGGUGGUGGUGACUUGUAAAUGUAAGGUGGUGGAGGUGAUGGUGAUGGAGGUGGGGGUGACUUGUACUGGUAAGAUGGUGCCUUGUGCUCAUAUGGAGGCGGUGGUGACGGUGAUGGAGGCGGUGGUGACUUGUACACAUAAGGUGGUGGAG
rnacentral:lncRNA from 1 species